rnacentral:tRNA from 1 species
GGGAAGGUGGCUCAGUGGUAGAGUGCUUGCCUUGCAUGCAUGAGGCCCUGGGUUUGAUUCCUCAGCAGCACCA